UACGUAGGGUGCAAGCGUUGUCCGGAAUUAUUGGGCGUAAAGAGCUCGUAGGCGGCUUGUCACGUCUGCUGUGAAAACUCGGGGCUCAACCCCGAGCCUGCAGUGGAUACGGGCUAGCUAGAGUUCGGUAGGGGAGACUGGAAUUCCUGGUGUAGCGGUGAAAUGCGCAGAUAUCAGGAGGAACACCGGUGGCGAAGGCGGGUCUCUGGGCCUUACCUGACGCUGAGGAGCGAAAGCGUGGGGAGCGAACAGG
rnacentral:rRNA from 1 species